AUUCCAUGAUGAGGGCACUUCCUUAAAAGGUCCUUGAAGUGCUUUCAUGCCUCAUACAAUGUUUCCAUCUCAUAUUGUUUAAAAGUGUUGAUGUCAUUCCUUAAUUU